UCCUUAUUGGUCUUGGGCGCUGGAAAGGCGCGCGCCGUGACAGAGUGCGCAGGCGCGGGAGCACGGUUCGCGGUCCUAGGCGGUCCUGCGCGGUCCUAGAGUGUCUCCGGCCGGCCUCCCUCAGUGUGUUAAAGCUGUAGCAUAUGCCGUGAGGUUAUGAGGAGGUUUUUGUUACUCUAUGCUACACAGAAAGGACAGGCAAAGGCCAUAGCAGAAGAGAUAUGUGAAAAAGCAUUUGCACAUGGAUUUUCUGCAGAUCUUCACUGUAUUAGCGAGUCAGAUAAGUAUGAUCUGAAAACUGAAACCGCGCCUCUUGUUGUGGUUGUUUCCACCACUGGCACUGGAGACCCACCUGACACUGCGCGCAAGUUCGUGAAAGCGAUACAGGACAAGGCUCUGCCGGCAGAUUUCUUUGCUCACCUGCACUAUGGAUUACUGGGGCUCGGUGAUUCAGAAUACACAUACUUCUGUAAUGGCGGGAAGAUCAUUGAUAAGCGACUUCAGGAGCUUGGUGCCCAGCAUUUCUAUGACACGGGACAUGCGGAUGACUGUGUGGGUUUAGAACUUGUGGUUGAGCCAUGGAUUGACGGACUCUGGGCUGCCCUCACGAAGCAUUUUAUGGCCAGUAGAGGAAAAGAGGAGAGGAAUGGGGCUCUCAAGAUGGCAUCUAAUGCCUCCCAACGGAUGGAUCCUGUGAAACCAGAAUUAUUACACAUUGAAUCACAAGUUGAACUUCUGAGAUUAGAUGAUCCGGGGAGAAAGGAUUCUGAGGUGCGGGAACAGAAUACAGUGAACAGAAAUCAGUCAAGUGCUCCACCAGCAGAAUCUGAGUCCUCACUUACCCACUCGAUACCCCCACUUUCACAAGCCUCUCUGAAUAUUCCCGCCUUACCACCAGAAUAUUUGCAGGUGCAUCUGCAGGAGUCUCUCGGGCAGGAGGAAAGCCAAGCAUCUGUGAUUUCAGUGGAUCCAAUUUUUCAAGUUCCAAUUUCAAAGGCAGUUCAACUGACUACAGAUGACGCCAUAAAAACCACUCUUCUGGUGGAAUUGGACAUUUCAAAAACAGAUUUUUCCUAUCAGCCUGGAGAUGCCUUCAAUGUGAUCUGUCCCAACAGUGAUUCUGAGGUACAAAACCUUCUCCAAAGACUGCAGCUCACGGACAGAAGAGAGCACUGUGUCCUCUUAAAAAUUAAGGCAGACACAAAAAAGAAAGGAGCAGCUUUACCCCAGCAUAUACCUGAGGGAUGUUCUCUCCAAUUCAUUCUGACCUGGUGCCUUGAAAUACGAGCAGUUCCUAAAAAGGCCUUGUUGCGAGCCCUCUCGGACUACACCAGCGACGGGCCCGAGAAGCGAAGGCUGCAGGAGCUGUGCAGCCGCCAGGGCGCGGCCGAUUACAACCGUCUCGUGCGAGAUGCGCACGCCAGCCUGUUCGACCUGCUCCUCGCUUUCCCGUCCUGCCAGCCGCCACUUCGUCUCCUGCUCGAACAUCUUCCUAAGCUCCAGCCGAGACCAUAUUCAUGUGCAAGCUCAAACCUGACUCACCCAGGAAAGCUUCAUUUCAUUUUUAACAUUGUGGAGUUUGUGUCGAACACCACAAUGGAAGUUCUGCGGAAGGGCGUAUGCACAGGCUGGCUGGCCACGGUGGCCGCGUCCGUUCUUCAUCCAUACCCACGAGUGUCCCGUGCAGAAGGUGGGAAAGCCCCGGCUCCGGAGAUCUCCAUCUCUCCUCGAACAACCAAUUUUUUCCACUUACCGAGUGACCCCUCAGCCCCCAUCAUAAUGGUGGGUCCGGGAACUGGCAUAGCGCCCUUCAUUGGUUUCCUGCAACACAGAGAGAAACUCCAAGAACAACAUCCAGAUGGACACUUUGGAGCAAUGUGGUUGUUUUUUGGCUGCCGACAUAAGGAUCGGGAUUAUUUAUUCAGAGAGGAGCUCAGACAUUUCCACCAGCGUGGAAUCCUGACUCACUUGAAGGUUUCCUUCUCAAGAGAUGCUCCUGUUGGAGAGGAGGAAGCCCCAGUGAAGUACGUGCAAGACAACAUCCGGCUUCACAGCGAGCAGGUGGCAAGGCUCCUUCUUCAUGAGCGUGGCUGUAUUUACAUCUGUGGAGAUGCUAAGAAUAUGGCCAAAGAUGUCAGUGAUACCCUUGUGGAAAUAAUUAGCAAAGAGGCUGGAGUUGAAAAACUAGAAGCAAUGAAAACAUUGGCUACUUUGAAAGAAGAAAAACGGCUCCUGUUCAAGUGCUCUGAGCACGUGUGAAGUAGGGUAGGCCAAGCUGUGGGAUUUGGCGUCUUGAGUGCUUUUUGACCUAACAGUAUUUUCAACUUAUAAUGAAUGUAUCGGGAUGUAACUUCACUAUAAGUUAAGGAAGGUGAAAAAUGCUCUACGAUGGAGGUAUAACCAUGAAAAGUCUCCCCCUGCUGAAAUGAUAUGCUCAUUAUGAAGCUCCACAUGGAGUGAAGGCAAAUGUGGAAAAGUCUACCUCCACCUUUGAAGUGCAUUACCAUCUGAAUGUCAACAAGGCCACCAGAGGUGCUCCUUCGAUUUUGUUCUCUCUACACCAUGUUUCUUCCGAGCCAUCUUUUUUUCUGACGUGAAAUUUUAAAUCAAGUAAAUCAGAUAAAAAAUAUUUACAAAUAUCCAGAACCAACGCUAAAAAUCAUAUAGUAAAACCCAAGCUUUAAAAUCGUUCCUUGAAGAUCAGCACACAGACACGGUGGAGAAAGCCAUUAGCUCUGCAACGAUAAAAUAUAAGCAAAUGGAAAAUUACCCAGAAAGAAAAGAAUCAGAUUUCAAGGCAGAAUGUCAGGGGAAAGGACAAAAGAUGUGGCCUCGCAUUGGCAGAAGGAACGACGGGGCUUGUUUGAAUAUUUUUAUUAAUUUCACCCAGAACUGGACACUUCUCCUAAAGUGAUGGCUUAAAUAUUUGUCAAGCUUCAGCCAUAUUCUCAGAUUCCUUUGGAUGUUUUCCCUUAAUAGAAACUGAUGGUGAAGUUUCUAGGGCAGAUAUCUUCAGGAAAAUGCUCCAACUACAGAGACAUUUGAAGGCCUUUAGAACCAAUCCCAAAGAUACACAGAUGCCAACACUAUUUCAACUUCUGGAAUUCAUUGUGAAAUGUGAUUUGUAUAAAUCUCUGACAAACUCACGCUUGUAUGUAAGAUUUUCCUAACAAUUCAUAUAUCUGUUCCCUCCUGAGCAAAAAGAUUUUUUUGAAAUUAAAAUUUAUUUAUUUAUUUAGUUUUAAAGAUUUUAUUUAUUUAUUUGAGAGAGAGAGCAUGAGCAGGGGGAAGAGACAGCGGGAGAGGGAGAAACAGACUCCCUGGUGAGCAGGGAGCCUGAUGCGGGACCCGAUCCCAAGACCCUGAGAUCAUGACCUGAGCCGAAGGCAGACGCUUAACCGACUGAGCCACCCAGGUGUCCCUGAAAUUAAAAUUUAGAAGUGUUUUUCGAUUAGCUGUGGGUGAAGAGACAGGACAGACCUUGUUAUAUGUCCAUUGAACAUGAAUGUGCUGAAAUGUUAAUUUUGACAAAUAUGCAGAAGUUAAGGAUCAAACUAGACAUUGCAGUGUAAUUCAUUCAGGUGUUAGACCAACAUGUAGCUACAAGUUUCCCUUGUUUUUCAAAAAAUGUAUUAGUGUCUUAGUGUAUUUUGUAUUAUAAUUGUUUAUUUUACUUUAUUUUUAACUGGCAUGAUUAUAUAUACAUAUAACAAAUUCAAUAAAAGGGAAUUUUCAUUGUG